UAGCGCGUGCGAACCCAUUCCAAAGAGAGAGAAGAAAAACAGAGAUGUGAGAAAGCGAGUGACGAAAGGUGAGAGUCAGAUAUUUCGAAACCCUAAAAUCUGAAAGGAAUUUGGGAAAAAAAAAGAGGAAAAUUUGCUAUACCGGUACACCCCACUCGCUCUUGCGCCUCGCGUGAGUCAUCCAUCUCAGAUCGAACGAAGGUCCAUCUCCAACCUCCUCCUUCUUCCUUACUUGGUAACCUUAAGAUCACUAACUGAAGGAAAUUGUAUACGUCAUGGACAUUGAUCUUCGGUUACCAUCUGGUGAACAUGAUAAAGAAGGUGAAGAAUCAACUGCCAUUGAUAACAUGUUGGAUGGUGAAGAGAAACUACAUAAUGGAGAUAUUAUAAGUGGGAAUAUGGUCGAUAUAGGAGAUGAAGUACACACUGAAGAUGGUGGAGAUUUGAACUCUCCCACAGCAAAUAUGGUAGUCUUUAAAGAAGAUACAAAUCUUGAACCACUUUCUGGUAUGGAAUUUGAAUCACACGGAGAAGCCUAUUCUUUCUAUCAAGAGUAUGCACGUUCUAUGGGAUUUAACACUGCGAUUCAAAAUAGCAGGCGGUCAAAGACAUCAAGGGAAUUUAUUGAUGCGAAAUUUGCUUGUUCUAGAUAUGGGACCAAGCGUGAGUAUGACAAGUCCUUUAAUCGGCCUCGUUCUAGGCAAAGCAAACAAGACCCAGAUAAUGUAACUGGACGAAGAUCAUGCUCAAAGACAGAUUGCAAAGCUAGCAUGCAUGUGAAGAGGAGGUCAGAUGGGAAAUGGGUUAUACACAAUUUUGUCAAGGAGCAUAACCAUGAACUAUUACCUGCCCAAGCUGUUAGUGAACAAACAAGAAAGAUGUAUGCUGCGAUGGCUAGACAAUUUGCUGAAUACAAAAGUGUGGUAGGCCUGAAAAAUGACCCCAAGAAUCCAUUUGAAAAGGGUCGUAAUUUGGCAGUUGAGGCAGGAGAUUUGAAGAUUUUGCUUGAUUUUUUCACGCAGAUGCAGAAUGUCAAUGCUAACUUCUUCUAUGCAGUUGAUGUGGGUGAAGAUCAACGUAUUAAAAAUUUGUUCUGGGUCGAUGCUAAAAGCAGGCAUGACUAUGCUAAUUUCAGUGAUGUAGUGUCUUUUGAUACCACCUACAUUAGAAAUAAAUAUAAAAUGCCUCUUGCUCUUUUUAUUGGAGUGAAUCAGCACUAUCAAUUCAUGUUGCUUGGGUGUGCCUUGAUAUCAGAUGAAAGUGUGACUACAUAUUCCUGGCUAAUGCAAACGUGGCUGAAAGCCAUGGGCGGACAGGUACCAAAAGUAAUAAUAACUGACCAUGACAAAGUGCUGAAAUCAGUUAUUUCAGAGGUCUUUCCGAUUGUUCAUCAUUGUUUUUUCUUAUGGCAUAUAUUGGGGAGGGUUAGUGAAACUCUUGGUCAUGUAAUCAAACAACAUGAAAAUUUCAUGGCGAAAUUUGAAAAAUGCAUCUACAGGUCUUGGACGAUUGAAAAAUUUGAUAAGAGGUGGUGGAAGAUUCUUGAUAAAUUUGAGCUCAGAGGUGAUGAAUGGAUUCAUUCACUGUAUGAAGAUAGAAAACAAUGGGUUCCAUCGUUCAUGAGGGAUGCUCUAUUGGCUGGGAUGUCUACUGUACAAAGAUCUGAUAGUGUAAACUACUACUUUGAUAAGUAUGUGCAUAAGAAGACCAGUGUACAGGAAUUUCUAAAACAACAUGAAACAAUUCUACAAGAUAGGUAUGAAGAGGAAGCUAAGGCUGAUUCUGAUACAUGGAACAAACAGCCAACAUUAAAAUCUCCUUCACCAUUAGAGAAAAGUGUUUCUGGGGUAUAUACACAUGCUGUGUUUAAAAAAUUUCAAGUUGAGGUUUUGGGUGCGGUUGCCUGUAUUCCUAAGAAGGAAAGACAAGAUGAGAUAAGCAUUAUUUUUCAAGUUCAAGAUUUUGAAAAGGGGCAAGACUAUCAAGUUUCAUGGAGUGAGAUGAAGUCCGAAGUUUCUUGUUUGUGCCGGUUAUUUGAAUACAAAGGUUAUCUUUGUAGACAUGCACUGAUUGUUCUCCAAAUGUGUGGCCUGUCUGUCAUCCCACCCCAGUAUAUAUUGAAACGAUGGACAAGAGAUGCAAAGAACAGACAUUUAACAGGAGAAGAAUCUGGUCAAUUACAGACUAGGGUGCAACGAUAUAAUGAUUUGUGUCAACGGGCAAUGAAAUUGUGCGAAGAGGGAUCUCUGUCACAAGAGAGUUACAGCAUUGCGUGUCGUGCACUAGAGGAAACUUUUGGAAAUUGUACGAGUGUUAAUAAUUCUAGUAGAAGCCUUGUUGAUGCUGGCACAUCAGCCACCCAUGGUAUACUCUGCAUGGAAGAAGAUUCCCAAAGCAAAAAUAUUGUCAAGACAAAUAAAAAGAAGAAUCCAACCAAGAAAAGAAAGGUGAGUUUUGAACCAGAUGUUAUAACAGUAGGGACACAAGACAGCUUGCAACAAAUGGAUAAUAAACUAAACCCAAGAGCGGUAACCCUCGAUAGUUAUUAUGGCGCACAACAGAAUGUGCAAGGAAUGGUACAAUUGAACUUGAUGGCCCCGCGUGACAAUUAUUAUGGCAAUCAACAAACCAUUCAGGGGCUUGGACAAUUAAACUCAAUAGCCCCAAGCCAUGAUGGAUAUUACAGUGCUCAACAAAGCAUGCAUGCCCUGGGACAGAUGGAGUUUUUUAGUAGACCCAGUUUCACUUAUGGAUAUUCAUUUCAAUAGCAGGAUGAUCCCAAUGUGAGAACAACCUCACUGCAUGACGAUGCAUCAAGACAUGGGUAAGAAUCACCAAGGUAACGCUCCUGAAGUUGGAGGAGACACACACAAGUCACAAUAUUUUGAAGGAAAAAUUGGUUCAUGCCUUAUGAAUGAUGGCCUAGUAAAAACCUCGCGGUCUGGCGUCUGUAAAAUAAGAUAGAGUAGGUUCUUUAAUCUUUCCAGGCCCCCUUUGUCUUCUAAAAGCUCACUUGGAGUAUAAGACAGAUUUAAAUAGGGUCGUCAUAUGUUAUAUCUUUUGUAAAUGUUAUUAUUGUAUUGUAUGGUAUCAUAUCAGCUCAUCUUGUGGUGUUUAGCUUAAAAUAGGAUUAGUGCAAAUCAGAAUUAUUCAUUUGAAGUUCAACUUGAACCACUCACUGAUCCCUUUGUUGCUUCUGAUAUAUUAGCUAAAAAGCAGUUCCUGCUGAUUCAACUUCUAUCGCUUUCCCUCAUCUUAUUUCUUAACAGUGUUGUUGUGAUAUUGGGGCAAGAACUUUUGCUUAUUUAUCAAGGUUGAUUAUUUA